rnacentral:rRNA from 1 species
GACGAACGCUGGCGGCGUGCUUAACACAUGCAAGUCAAACGGAAAGGCCCUGCUUUUGUGGGGUGCUCGAGUGGCGAACGGGUGAGUAACACGUGAGUAACCUGCCCUUGACUUUGGGAUAACUUCAGGAAACUGGGGCUAAUACCGGAUAGGAGCUCCUGCUGCAUGGUGGGGGUUGGAAAGUUUCGGCGGUUGGGGAUGGACUCGCGGCCUAUCAGCUUGUUGGUGGGGUAGUGGCUUACCAAGGCUUUGACGGGUAGCCGGCCUGAGAGGGUGACCGGCCACAUUGGGACUGAGAUACGGCCCAGACUCCUACGGGAGGCAGCAGUGGGGAAUAUUGCACAAUGGGCGGAAGCCUGAUGCAGCAACGCCGCGUGCGGGAUGACGGCCUUCGGGUUGUAAACCGCUUUCGCCUGUGACGAAGCGUGAGUGACGGUAAUGGGUAAAGAAGCACCGGCUAACUACGUG